ACAAACUAAUGACACAAUGACCAACAGGUGUGCAGCUGCAGGCGAAGCCCUACAGUGCCGCCUGUUGGUCACAAGCAGAACCAUGACACUUGGCGCUCCAGAGAA